UAUCAUGAUUGAUAAAAAGACGAAAGUUGCGGUACCGGUGAAAGAUAUUUACAAGUUUAACCCGGAGAAAUACGACAAAAUGAAGUAUUAUUUUUUUAAUUAUGGUGAUUCAAUGGAGAAGGGUUUAAUCCUCGGAACUGAAGUUAAUUCGCAGUGCAUCUGAUUUAUCGGACAUAAAUGUUUCACCUAGAAAAGUCAGUAAAGAACCUAAUAAUAACGCUCUAUCGAGAUCUCUUGAAAAUCAAGUUGUUCAUUUGAUAGAUUCUACCAGAAAGCGACAACAAGAAAAAAACGAGAAAACACCAUCUUUUAAAAAAGUAAAACAUGAUGAUAACAAUAAGUCACCAACUUUAACGUUGGUUUGUUUGCACAUUACUUGUCAUUCUAUUUUUACGAAAUCAUUGAAACCGUUAGAAAGAACUCAAGAGGUGGGAAAAAUGAGACAACAUAUAUAUAAAUAUAUUGGGAAUCUUAAAGAUAAAACAAAUAAUCCAAAAAAAACGAAACAGUCUAAAGAAAAAGUAAAUAAAGAUAUCGGAACAGAUGUAAAUGUUGAAGGAGAAGACUAUGAAAAAGGUGGAAACAAUGACAAUA